UGUUUAGUCUGUUUUUCCCUCAUUUUGUAGUCUUGACUGUGGCUGAUCCUUCUUCUGAAGAGAGAAGGUGAAAGCCACAUUCUUAUCCAAAAUGAGAAAGAGAUGAGACCUUAAACUUGGUGUGGCCGCGCCGUCGGGGCCGAGGAAUCUCUGGCACCGCAGGAGCAGCAGCCCACACCAGGAACGUGGAGCAGCCUCUGCUUCGGACAGGAGGACGUCCGUCCCAGGAGAAAGAGCAUCAGUUCUCAGUUGGGCCACCUUCCAUGCGAUGGAGCAACGUAGCUAAGCUGUAGGUUGCCUUAUGCUUGCAACACUGCAACCCCGAGGAAGUCUGCAUCUGCAGAGAUCUGCCUUCAUGCCUGGACUGAUAAGCGACGCUGGGGAAGCGUCUUGGCCAGUGAGUCCCGCUCCCUGCCUGUGACUCAUCCUCGUCUAAAUGCAGCCUGCAAGCUCUCGGAGGACUGCCUUUCUCUCUGAGCAGAGCAACAUAAAAAAAAAAAACAGCAACGCUGUUGAAUAACCAGUAUUAUUUUUUAACACUUUUUUUUUUUUUUGAGGGCCGCCUUGCUGUAUUUGUGCUUCUCUGUCAAGGGGUUCAUUGGUUCCCCGAGAGAACAGUCGUGACCCACAGCAAGAAGGCUGUUCAGGCACGGGCUCAGGGGCAGCACAGCAGCAGUGCCGUGGGCAAUAGACCUUAAAAUAGAAGGUGGUGGGCUCUGACAAAGGCCAGAAAAUCUUAGCACCCACGUACUUCCUUCCCCAUUUCUGACCCGCUUGUACCUGGCAGCAUCCCUCUGGAAAAUGCGGUGGCCAUGAUGUGGACGUGCAGCUGUUCAGCAGGCUGCCCAGCUUCCUUCUCCCAGCCCGUGCCUACACUGUGCUGCCCAAUGGGCUGCUGUUCUCCACAGUGACCCUGACUGUCUGAUUACCUUCCAACCCUCACCUGAGCUCAGGUUCUGUCUGUAACUGCGAGCGGAUCUCUUACUGAGCCACAGUGGUUUCUCUUUCCAGAUGCUGCUGCAGUAUCCCGCCUCCUCAUCGCAUCGCCCUCUGGAAGACAGAAGUGACGAUCAGCAGCGUGGUGUUGUCCUGCAGGCAGCUGAAGAACCACUUUGACAGCAAGCAGGAGAACAACUAUGCAGUGUAAUCACAGCCUGUCUGUGCUCUUUCUAACAGUGUACAUGAGCACCCUAUUCCCAGCGAGGGGAUGCUGUAACCUCCCCCUGCUGACCUGUAUUCUUCUCCGUUACUGUAACCAAGCUGUUUCUUUCCCACAGCCACGCGUUCCUGCAGAUAUACCAAGGGUUCCCAUGCAGAUAGGUUUACAAAUUCAGGAAGGGCUUGGACAGAGCAAAAGGAGAAUGAAGUAAUUCCCAAAUAUUUGCACUGUGGCUGAUGAAAUUAGCAGGAGAGCUGAGUGGGUGUAUAGGGGUCUGCUGGGGGACGGAUGGAAGGAAACCUGGGGACAAACUGUCUCCUGUUCGACGUGCUCUGAGUGCUGUGUGAUAAAGGUGAAUCACCCAGCUUAGCUGCAGGUGAGCCAGCAGGACAGUGGCUGGGGCCGGGUCCCACUGCAGCCUGUGUGGGGGCUGUGUGCUGGGUCCGGUGGGCUUUGAAUCCCACCACAAAGACAGUGGCUGUCGACAAGGUCACGAACGCAGAGCUUCGCCUUCUGUUGAUUAUGUGGUUGUCAGUGGAAGAAUUACUGUGUAUCUAUGGGAAAUGUUAAAAAACAACAACGCCUUUUUUUCUUGAAUAAAUCUGUGAAACGAACCAACCUUUGUUUCUGUUCUGUUUCUUUGGGUUUCAUUCCCUUUGCGCUUAGCGACCCAUCGCUGUCCAACCCCCCCCC
rnacentral:lncRNA from 1 species